CCUACGGGAGGCUGCAGUGGGGAAUAUUGGGCAAUGGGCGCAAGCCUGACCCAGCAACGCCGCGUGAAGGAAGAAGGCUUUCGGGUUGUAAACUUCUUUUGUCAGGGAAGAGUAGAAGACGGUACCUGACGAAUAAGCUACGGCUAACUACGUGCCAGCAGCCGCGGUAAUACGUAGGUGGCAGGCGUUGUCCGGAUUUACUGGGUGUAAAGGGCGUGUAGCCGGGUUGACAAGUCAGAUGUGAAAUCCUCCGGCUUAACCGGAGAACUGCAUUUGAAACUGUUGAUCUUGAGUACUGGAGAGGCAGGCGGAAUUCCUAGUGUAGCGGUGAAAUGCGUAGAUAUUAGGAGGAACACCAGUGGCGAAGGCGGUCUGCUGGACAGCAACUGACGGUGAGGCGCGAAAGCGUGGGGAGCAAACAGGAUUAGAUACCCGUGUAGUC
rnacentral:rRNA from 1 species